UUCACUAACUGGUUAAUGGCGACAAUCGACUUAAGUCUGUGUACAAUAUACACAUGUAGGUCUAUACAGUCCCGGUUAGAAUUCUAUUACGCUCAUUGUUGCGAGAACGCACACGAGAACUGGCAUCUGAUCACCUGCAGCUCAACCUCGUGUACGGGAUUAUAGUCUGAUAUUCUGGAGUGCGGAGGAAUACCGGAAGACUUGGAGUGAUCAAUAGUGUGGCACUAUAUUUCGCUGCGGAUUUAUAUCCGGUCUAGUAUCAAGAUUGAAUAAUGUGCGAUUCAGAACACAAGCAAUACAGAUGGGUGGUGGGGUUUUUCUAUACCGAAAACGGAUUUCGGCAAAGGAUGGAUAUUGAAAAUAAAUGCUUAUUUUCAACAAAAAAAGAGGCGGAGAGAGACGCACGAUUAAAUGUGGACGCCACCGUGAAAGACUUCCCUAACGGCAAAGUAGAUUCCGUACAUCUGGAGGAUGAAAAUGGAAAGAAAGUGCAAGAUCUUCAGAAAAAUAUGUCUUGGGAUUAAUUUAAAGAAGAAUGUUUCAGAAAGUGUUAUCCUAAACCAGGAUGAGACAAGAAUGGCUCAUAAUAUGGAGGAACAAAGCUUGAUUUUUUUUCAAAGUUUUCUUUUUAUAAAUAUAUAUUUUAUAUUGAUAUUGUAUUUCUACAUUCUUACGAUCUGAUGAUGUCUAGAUAUGUUACAUAGGAUCGACAGACUAUCUAUCAAUGACAUUGUAUUUGUGAUUCAGUGUUGUCGUGUUUGGAUACCCGUGCUUCAGUGAUGUUUUUUGCGUGACGUACUUCCCCGGAUUAACUACUAGAAGACUAGAGCACUUCUUCUUCACGUGCUGUACAAAUCUUAAAGCCAUUUGAUAUUUGCUUUAAUGAAGGGAUUAUAGAAACUUAUUCUCGGAGAUUCCUGUUUUAAUGCGGUGAACGAUUUCAUACUUGUUAACUAUUUGAUAUAUUACAAGUUUACAACUGCGUGGCCUAGAUUUUCAAGUUUAAUAUUUACAAACAACUGGUCUCUGUCAUCAAUAUUUAGAUGUACCUUUAUAACAUGAACACACAUGUUCAAGACACGUGCAUGCACACAUGUACACAUGUUCGUACGUCUACUUGCCGUGUAUACGUGUCUGUGACGUGUACAUUUGUCUAUGACUUAUACACGUAUGUCUAUGACGUAUACACGUGUAUCUAUGACAUGCACCUGUCUAUAUGACGUGUACACACGACUGCAUGAUAUGUGUAUACGUGUAUGCAUUAUGUAUACAUGUACACAUGCCUUUUUGACAUGAACACAUAUCUCUAUUACGCGUACACACGUCUCCAUGAUACGUAUGACAUCUACCGACUUUAUCACCUGUUCAGUAUGUCAGUCAAGACUAAUGUACAUCAUAAUACAGUACUUGAGCACACAUUUAUUUAGCAUCAUUCAAUAAAAGAAUGAAAUUUUU